AUCCACCUGACGAAUCCCAAAUAGGACGAAACGUUCGUUCUGGAU
rnacentral:hammerhead_ribozyme from 1 species